rnacentral:misc_RNA from 1 species
ACGUUGCUUAGGCCUAAAUUUAUACUUAAGCAAAUAUUAAUGAAGCUUAAAAGUUUCUUUGAUGCUAUUUUCCAAGUAUUUAUUUUACGAAAAAUAAUUUUGAAAAUAGUUUGAAAUUAGGAAAAAAAAGAUAAUAACCUAGACAUUGGGCAAAUUAAUGCUUCAUACUAUAAAUUUCAUAAACAAACUAGCAUAAAUAUAAUUUUCUUCAACAAAUAAGCA